AGCAGAUUGACUGGUCGCAGGUGGUUUCAAUCACUUCAUUCUCUUUGGACCAAUCAUGAAGUCACUGCAUGCUAUAUAGGCGGGGGGUUUGACAUCUUGACCCGUUACUCUUUGUUGCUGGAGGUACAUUCCGCUCUGGGUCCUCUCGCGUUCGCGGCGCGCUCACGGUUGUGCAACAGUGUCUCCCUGUCACCAACCCAGGCUUUCCUUUAAUGGAAUCGGGUUGAGCGGUGCCGCUGUUGCUGAGUGCCGAAGGUGGUGGUGUCGGUGUCCCAGGUGGUGGUGUCUCCCUCGCGUGUGCUGUGUUUUCCCCCGUUUGGUUUAAUUUGAGUUUUGCUUGCUGUAGUGUGUGUUUGUGUGUGCACGUGUGAUUGGGGUGAUCCUUCCCUGAGACCCCACACCCCGUUGGCCCUGUCCCUCCACCGUUGCUGAGUGCCGAAGGUGGUGGUGUCGGUGUCCCAGGUGGUGGUGUCUCCCUCGCGUGUGCUGUGUUUUCCCCCGUUUGGUUUAAUUUGAGUUUUGCUUGCUGUAGUGUGUGUUUGUGUGUGCACGUGUGAUUGGGGUGAUCCUUCCCUGAGACCCCACACCCCGUUGGCCCUGUCCCUCCACCGGUAAGGCCUCAGUACCUAUUUUCCAUAUUUAGUAGGUCGGGUAUUUUAAAUGGUAUUUUAUAUUUGAUGUUUUAGUAAUUGUAGUAAAUAAAAUUAUUUUUAUAACGGAACUACGUCUCUGGCUUCACGCAUAAAUCGAACCUGUGUGCUUUCUGCAUUUAAAUUAAUUAUAGUACGAUCCCAUUCUCGGGGUGAAAUUCCCCGGGUGGCGUUGCCGGUGUCAUCGGUGUCGAGCGGGCCAAAAAGGCGCUCCACACCCACAGAGUUCCAC